GAUCCUGGCUCAAGAUGAACGCUAGCUACAGGCUUAACACAUGCAAGUCGAGGGGCAGCAUGAACUUAGCUUGCUAAAGUUUGAUGGCGACCGGCGCACGGGUGAGUAACACGUAUCCAACCUGCCGAUGGACUCGGGGAUAGCCUUUCGAAAGAAAGAUUAAUACCCGAUGGCAUAGUUCUUCCGCAUGGUAGAACUAUUAAAGAAUUUCGGUCAUCGAUGGGGAUGCGUUCCAUUAGGUUG
rnacentral:rRNA from 1 species